AGGAGGAACAACCUCAGUGACAGCAGCCUGCUCUGGAAACCUGUAUUCAGCCCCCACAGUAACUCCAGAGCAGUCCAUCUGCAGGGCUUGGAGGCUCUGGGGUGGG
rnacentral:pre_miRNA from 1 species